rnacentral:rRNA from 1 species
CGCGGUGGCUACAGCUAUACAUGCAGUCGAGCGAAUGACGAGGAGCUUGCUCCUCUGAUUUAGCGGCGGACGGGUGAGUAACACGUGGGUAAUCUGCCUGUAAGACGGGGAUAACUCCGGGAAACCGGGGCUAAUACCGGAUAAUAAGAAGAAACGCAUGUUUCUUUUUUGAAAGUCGGUUUCGGCUGACACUUACAGAUGAGCCCGCGGCGCAUUAGCUAGUUGGUGAGGUAACGGCUCACCAAGGCGACGAUGCGUAGCCGACCUGAGAGGGUGAUCGGCCACACUGGGACUGAGACACGGCCCAGACUCCUACGGGAGGCAGCAGUAGGGAAUCUUCGGCAAUGGGCGAAAGCCUGACCGAGCAACGCCGCGUGAGCGAUGAAGGCCUUCGGGUCGUAAAGCUCUGUUGUUAGAGAAGAACAAGUACGAGAGUAACUGCUCGUACCUUGACGGUACCUAACCAGAAAGCCACGGCUAACUACGUGCCAGCAGCCGCGGUAAUACGUAGGUGGCAAGCGUUAUCCGGAAUUAUUGGGCGUAAAGCGCGCGCAGGCGGUCUCUUAAGUCUGAUGUGAAAGCCCACGGCUCAACCGUGGAGGGUCAUUGGAAACUGGGAGACUUGAGUGCAGGAGAGAAAAGUGGAAUUCCACGUGUAGCGGUGAAAUGCGUAGAGAUGUGGAGGAACACCAGUGGCGAAGGCGGCUUUUUGGCCUGUAACUGACGCUGAGGCGCGAAAGCGUGGGGAGCAAACAGGAUUAGAUACGCUGGUAGUCCACGCCGUAAACGAUGAGUGCUAGGUGUUGGGGGGUUCCACCCUCAGUGCUGAAGUUAACACAUUAAGCACUCCGCCUGGGGAGUACGACCGCAAGGUUGAAACUCAAAGGAAUUGACGGGGGCCCGCACAAGCAGUGGAACAUGUGGUUUAAUUCGAAGCAACGCGAAGAACCUUACCAGGUCUUGACAUCCUCUGACCACUCUAGAGAUAGAGCUUUCCCCUU